rnacentral:rRNA from 1 species
AAAGAAACCAACAGGGAUUGCCCUAGUAACGGCGAGUGAAGCGGCAACAGCUCAAAUUUGAAAUCUGGCCCUCGGGUCCGAGUUGUAAUUUGUAGAGGAUGCUUUUGGUGAGGUACCUUCCGAGUUCCCUGGAACGGGACGCCAUAGAGGGUGAGAGCCCCGUCUGGUUGGAUACCGAGCCUCUGUAAAGCUCCUUCGACGAGUCGAGUAGUUUGGGAAUGCUGCUCUAAAUGGGAGGUAUAUGUCUUCUAAAGCUAAAUACCGGCCAGAGACCGAUAGCGCACAAGUAGAGUGAUCGAAAGAUGAAAAGCACUUUGAAAAGAGAGUUAAAAAGUACGUGAAAUUGUUGAAAGGGAAGCGCUUAUGACCAGACUUGGGCUUGGUUGAUCAUCCUGGGUUCUCCCUGGUGCACUCUUCCAGUUCAGGCCAGCAUCAGUUCGCUGCGGGGGAUAAAAGUUUUGGGAAUGUGGCUCCCUCGGGAGUGUUAUAGCCCAUUGCAUAAUACCCUGCUCCGGACUGAGGUUCGCGCAUCUGCAAGGAUGCUGGCGUAAUGGUCAUCAGCGACCCGUCUUGAAACACGGACCAAGGAGUCGUCUUCGUAUGCGAGUGUUCGGGUGUUAAACCCCUACGCGUAAUGAAAGUGAACGCAGGUGAGAGCUUCGGCGCAUCAUCGACCGAUCCUGAUGUUCUCGGAUGGAUUUGAGUAAGAGCAUACGGGGCCGGACCCGAAAGAAGGUGAACUAUGCCUGUAUAGGGUGAAGCCAGAGGAAACUCUGGUGGAGGCUCGCAGCGGUUCUGACGUGCAAAUCGAUCGUCAAAUAUGGGCAUGGGGGCGAAAGACUAAUCGAACCUUCUAGUAGCUGGUUUCCGCCGAAGUUUCCCUCAGGA